rnacentral:rRNA from 1 species
ACACUCUACGGGAGGCAGCAGUGGGGAAUUUUGGACAAUGGGCGAAAGCCUGAUCCAGCAAUGCCGCGUGUGUGAAGAAGGCCUUCGGGUUGUAAAGCACUUUUGUCCGGAAAGAAAUCCUUGGCUCUAAUACAGUCGGGGGAUGACGGUACCGGAAGAAUAAGCACCGGCUAACUACGUGCCAGCAGCCGCGGUACUACGUAGGGUGCGAGCGUUAAUCGGAAUUACUGGGCGUAAAGCGUGCGCAGGCGGUUUGCUAAGACCGAUGUGAAAUCCCCGGGCUCAACCUGGGAACUGCAUUGGUGACUGGCAGGCUAGAGUAUGGCAGAGGGGGGUAGAAUUCCACGUGUAGCAGUGAAAUGCGUAGAGAUGUGGAGGAAUACCGAUGGCGAAGGCAGCGCCCUGGGCCAAUACUGACGCUCAUGCACGAAAGCGUGGGGAGCAAACAGGAUUAGAAACCCCUGUAGUCCCAUGAU